rnacentral:rRNA from 1 species
GACGAACGCUGGCGGCGUGCUUAACACAUGCAAGUCGAACGAAGUGGCGAACGGGUGAGUAACGCGUAAUCAACCUGCCCUUCCGAGGGGGACAACACUUGAAAACGACUGCUAAUACCGCAUACUGAAGGAGGGGAGUGCGUCUGAUUAGCUAGGUGGAGGGGUAACGGCCCACCAAGGCGAUGAUCAGUAGCCGGUCUGAGAGGAUGAACGGGCAAAUUGGGACUGGGACACGGCCCAGACUCCUACGGGAGGCAGCAGGGGGGAAUCUUCCGAAAUGGACGACAGGCUGACGGAGCAACGCCGCGGGAGUGAUGACGGCCUUCGGGUUGUAAAGCUCUGUUAAUCGAGAAGCGGUACCGGAAUAGAAAGCAACGGCUAACUACGUGCCAGCAGCCGCGGUAAUAC